AUUGAACGCUGGCGGCAGGCCUAACACCUGCAAGUCGAACGAGCGGCGGACGGGUGGGUAAUGUCUGGGAAACUGCCCGAUGGAGGGGGAUAACUACUGGAAACGGUAGCUAAUACCGCAUACCAUCGGAUGUGCCCAGAUGGGAUUAGCUAGUAGGUGGGGUAAUGGCUCACCUAGGCGACGAUCCCUAGCUGGUCUGAGAGGAUGACCAGCAACACUGGAGCUGAGGCACGGGCCAGACUCCUACGGGAGGCAGCAGUGGGGAAUAAGGCACAAUGGGCGCAAGCCUGGUGCAGCCAGGCCGCGUGUAUGAAGAAGGCCGUCGGGUUGUAAAGUACUUUCAGCGAGGAGGCGUUACUCGCAGAAGAAGCACCGGCUAACUCCGUGCCAGCAGCCGCGGUAAUAC
rnacentral:rRNA from 1 species